rnacentral:rRNA from 1 species
UAUUACCGGCGGCUGCUGGCACGGAGUUAGCCCGAAGCUGAUUCCCUCAGGUACCUUCACUUUCUUAUUCCCUGAGAAAAGAGGUUUACAACCCAAGAGCCUUCCUCCCUCACGCGGUAUUGCUCCGUCAGGCUUUCGCCCAUUGCGGAAAAUUCCCCACUGCUGCCUCCCGUAGGAGUCUGGGCCGUGUCUCAGUCCCAGUGUGGCUGGUCAUCCUCUCAGACCAGCUACUGAUCGUCGCCUAGGUGCGCUCUUACCACACCUACUAGCUAAUCAGACGCGAGCUCAUCAAAAGGCGAUUAAUCUUUCACCCACAGGCACAUCCGGUAUUAGCAGUCGUUUCCAACUGUUGUCCCGAACCUUUUGCCAGAUUCUCACGCGUUACUCACCCGUCCGCCACUAAGUUCCGAAGAACUCCGUUCGACUUGCAUGUGUUAAGCAUACCGCCAGCGUUCAUCCUGAGCCAGAAUCAAACUCU